UACCCGGUGGUGUAAUGGUAACACAAGGGUUUUUGGUACCCUCGUUCGUGGUUCGAAUCCACGCCGGGUAG
rnacentral:tRNA from 1 species